GCAUAUCUCUGACUACUAACCAAACCCCAUAGGCUCUCUCCCCGCUGACCUCAUUUCCCAUCCCCUACCCAAUAUAAGCUGCAACCCCGCUCAAUAAAGUGAGAUCCUGCUGCGACAGAUCCCCCGAGUCUGGUGUGGUUCGUUAAUGCGCCUGGACUCGCGACACUCGCCAUCCCGCUCAGCCCCAAGGGGAGCUACCGGCUGGCCCGGACGCUCUCCUCGUGCCUGUCGGCCGCAAAACCUACCGGAGUCCGACAGAGUUCUAUGAUUUUUUUUUUAAUAUAUAGCAUUUACCAUUCAGCCAAAAAUAAUCACGCCAAGAUAAAGGACCAUAUCACAUCUCCAAACACCAAAGAAAUUCCAAAAAGGGCAAGAUAAGAAGGAAGAAGACAAGGAUAUCCACUCUCAGCAGUUUUAUUCAACAUAGCACUGAAAGUACUAGCUGUAGCAAGCAGAUAAGAAAUAAAAGACAUCCAAACUGAUGCCUUUCCAGUGGAGCUCACAAAAAAACAAAAAACAAAAUACAACGGCCUCCAACAUACUAAACAGCUGUCUCCGAGAUCAGAAAGCAUCAGAAAAGACCCUAAAGAGUUGUGUAAUCCCAAAGGAAGAUCUUGUUUAAAUGGAGAAGUGCUUGCAGCAGAAACCUUGGAAAUUUCAGGGAGUGGAAUUUUAUUGUCAGAACUUUCAAUGAAAGUGCAGCUACAGAUCCUGGGAGUGUUAAAUAAAAAUUACCAACAAGCUGUCUUACCUGUGUGCACUCCAUUGAAAGGAAGGGCAAACGUGAGCAAGUCGUGCUUGUACAUCAGUCAAAACUCUGACAGCUACCCUGUGAAGUCUGACGAGCUGCCAUGUGCUCGACUACCUAAGAUACUCUUAACUGAACCAUAAAAAGACAAAUAAAUUAGUAAUUGUAUCUCUCCUGUCAAUGUCCUUUUGCGUGAACUUCUCAAGCUGUUGGUUAACAUUGUCUGGAAUGAUUUAUCAAUAUAUUCUUAGCUUUCUUAGAAAAGACAGAUGCACUUGAUUUUUUUCCC
rnacentral:lncRNA from 1 species